GUUUGGAUUGACCGUAUAUCGCUUGCGCGUGGCUUCCGGCGAUAUUCAGAACGGAAGCCCAAUGCAAGGAUACAGAAAAGUGUAGAUUAAAGAAGAUUUAAAAAAAAAAGAGAAAGAUGAUAAUGAGGAGAAAGGAGAGGAAAAAGAGUAUGUACAUAAUGAAUACAAAAGAUCAGUAGAGAAUAGUUAAAAAGGUAAAAAG
ensembl:ncRNA F37B12.9 ncRNA